GAUGAACGCUAGCUACAGGCUUAACACAUGCAAGUCGAGGGGUAACGAGAGGAAAGCUUGCUUUCCUUGUCGACGACCGGCGCACGGGUGAGUAACGCGUAUCCAACCUGCCCCCAACUAGGGAAUAACCUUGCGAAAGUAAGACUAUUACCCUAUAAUUUCCUCAGAUGACAUCUGACGAGGAAUAAAGAUUUAUCGGUUGUGGAUGGGGAUGCGUCUGAUUAGCUUGUUGGCGGGGUAACGGCCCACCAAGGAAACGAUCAGUAGGGGUUCUGAGAGGAAGGUCCCCCACAUUGGAACUGAGACACGGUCCAAACUCCUACGGGAGGCAGCAGUGAGGAAUAUUGGUCAAUGGGCGGAAGCCUGAACCAGCCAAGUAGCGUGCAGGAUGACGGCCCUAUGGGUUGUAAACUGCUUUUAUACAGGAAUAAAGUUAGCCACGUGUGGUUAUUUGUAGGUACUGUAUGAAUAAGGACCGGCUAAUUCCGUGCCAGCCGCCGCCGUAA
rnacentral:rRNA from 1 species